UCCCUCCCCAGUUCUCUCCCGAGCCCAGCCGCGCCUCCUCCUUUCGCCUCCAUCGUUCUCCCAACUCCGGCCACCUUUGGCCGAGUUCUUGGAGGGCUUUUGCUCGCCUUGGUCUAUACAUGAAGUCUGGGCAACCAAUCGAACUUGAAACGAGCUGGAGAAGAAGAAUCGAGACCGAGAAGUGGGACUGCCAACGACAAAAUCGCUCUUCCCCCACCGUUUUCUGGGCUCUCCUUUGUCCGGCCAUAUCUCCCUCCACAGACCUCUAAUCGACUUGCUUCCAAAAUCAAAUUCGUUCGCCCUGAAGUCCUUUAAAACUUUCAAGAAGACAUCGAUGGGAAAUAACCAUCGUGGUGGUCUCUGCAAGUCGAAGAACAUGGUGCAGCCGAGUUGGAAAUCGCCUCACUUCGCCACUAUUGUUCUCCCUCCUCCGGUCACCUUUUGCCAUUUUUCUUGAAGGGAUUAUGCACUCCUGAGGAUGUAGAUCAUUUAUCCUAAGGUGGGUUGCAUCAAAUCGAGCUGUGGUGAUCGAAUUCGCACGAUUUGGAAACUAGGGUUCAUCCGAUCUGAAAAUGUUGUGAGGUGAUUGACGGUCUCCCUUGGGUGAGCGAUUUCGGUGUGUAUUGUGUUGAAUUGAAGACGCAGCGGGAAUAUCGAGCGGGUAAUCCUGCAGGUCAGGAGAAUCAGGGCGGUGAUCGAGUGGGUUAGAGUAUUUGUUAUAGUUUUACAACAUUUGUAAUUGUGAGGUGAGUUAUGCUCAUU